GGGUGACUAGUGACAGAGUGAGGAAGGGGGUGACUAGUGACAGAGGGAGGGGUGACUAGGGACAGAGUGAGGGAGGUGGUGACUAGUGACAGUCACCACCUCCCUCACUCUGUCACUAAUCACCACCUCCCUCCCUCUGUCACCAGUCAUCCCCUCAUUCUGUCACCAGUCACCCCUUCCUUCCCUCACUCUGCCACUAGUCACCCCUUCCCUCACUCUGUCACCUGUCAGCCC